rnacentral:rRNA from 1 species
AUUGAACGCUGGCGGCAUGCCUUACACAUGCAAGUCGAACGGCAGCACGGGUGCUUGCACCUGGUGGCGAGUGGCGAACGGGUGAGUAAUACAUCGGAACGUACCUUAUCGUGGGGGAUAACGCAGCGAAAGCUGUGCUAAUACCGCAUACGCCCUGAGGGGGAAAGCGGGGGAUCGAAAGACCUCGCGCGAUUAGAGCGGCCGAUGCCUGAUUAGCUUGUUGGUGGGGUAAAAGCCCACCAAGGCGACGAUCAGUAGCUGGUCUGAGAGGACGAUCAGCCACACUGGGGCUGAGACACGGCCCAGACUCCUACGGGAGGCAGCAGUGGGGAAUUUUGGACGAUGGGGGCAAGCCUGACGACGCAACGCCGCGUGGAGGAUGAAGGUCUUCGGAUUGUAAACUCCUGUUGAUCGGGACGAAAAGCUCCAACCUAAUACGUUGGAGACUGACGGUACCGGUUGAGGAAGCCACGGCUAACUCUGUGCCAGCAGCCGCGGUAA